AACUGGCCACUGCCAAGAUAACUUAGGCCACGCUGUUGCCUAGAGCCCGUCCUCCUGAGAGUUGAUUUCCUCAAAUUCCUGCCCCGAUCACACCAGCUCUGGGCUGGUGGGCUGCAGGCCACAGUUCAGAUCAGGGCUGGUAGCCAGAGAGGGGAGUCUGGCCCUCCACAUGGGCGAUGGAGUGGUGAAGCAAGGAGGUGUCUGGGACCAGGAUCGCACAAGUGACCAGCUAAAGAAAGAAACCACCCUCCCACACCCCAGCACAUGCUUUUACCCAGAGAAACUCUGGCGGGCACAGCUCUGCGGUCGAUCCAGAAGGACACCCAGGACAGCAUGACCAUCAGUGUAGCAGGAAAAUAAGUUUGGAGCAAGAAGAAGAAAAUGUGGCGUCGCAACGUGAAGUUAAUGUACAGACGGUUGUACCAGCCUGGGGGACACAAGAAGCAGCCAGUGAGGUUUAGUUCGAGAGGCAAGAACAAACUGUUCCUUAGGAGAGCCCCCCCCCCACCAUUGCUCUGAUCUUCAGGAGAAAGUUAAUGAUCCAUUGACUUACCCUACUACAUCUCCUCUCUAAUAUCUAAGCCCUCUCUCCUAUUAACAAGGAUCUUGCCACUACGUGUUCUGUUUUAUUCAACAUUACCUAACCUCUCUUCUCUUCCCCUAACAUUUUGGGGGAAGGUAGAGAGAGAGCUAGGGUUAGCUGCUUGUUUGGUAUUUGUUAUUUUCCACCCACAACUGUAUUUCCUGAGGACUCACUACUCAGGAAGCUAAGAAGCGGGACUGGUUCCAUUUUGUUGAGGCCAAUACCACUGGGGCAGGAGCCGGUGGAGCUGCUGUAGGACUGUCCCCUUUGUCAUACGUUGGGUCCGCUCAGCCUGUCUCCAUUGCAUCACCAGAUGGAUGGUUGUCAACAAGGACUAAAACGGCUGCGGGGUGCUUUGAAGGUGCCAGAAGUGGAAUGGUCGGUGUGGGGAGGAGUCCUCCUCCUUAGGGCUGACUAGUCUGCCUUUCUCCCCCAGUGGGGCUUGCAACACAAGGGGGGUCUGCAGGCAGCCUGGUCAGAGUUCUCUCCUGGUACCCAGACCCUGCUCCCCUGUCCCGGGGCCACGUGCUCCCAGCAUAGCCGCUGGGGAAGUGGGACUGGUUAAUUUCCUCAUCCUGUGGACCCUCUGUUAGUCAGAGAUGUUACAAUGGCCCAGAGUCCAAACUGCUAACUUUGAUAGCCCUGUAUUUCACGGGGGUUUGCUGUGCAUGAUCCGCUCUGCUUUCCCCUCCUUUUCUUUCUCUAAAGUGCCACAUGAUCUGCCACGUCCAGUUGUCCCAAGAGCCAAAGGGGAAAAAAAACAAUACAACCAUCACCUUCUUUGGACCUACCUCCCAGUGGCCUGGUUUUCAGAUAAUGGGCACAGUGUUUGAAUAGGAGCUGGUUUUGGCAAAGGAUAUGUUCAAGAUAAACUAUAUCAGCUUGCUUUGAGUGUGAAACUGUGUCACUCUGUUCUCAGGGCCUGGCCUGCUCUCCACAGCUCCAACUGCCCUUCUAAGAGAAAUCUGAUAAUGCCUGUGAGGGUGGCAUCAGUGCUCUGGAGGUCCUGCCCAUGUGGGAGGGCAGGCCAAGUUCUCUGGAGACCUGGAUUGGUAGAGGUGUCACAAUCUUCCACAGAUCCAUUGCAGCUUACUCUCAACAAGACCUUCCAUGUAUGUGAGCUUCCUAAAUUCUCCACACCUUCACCGACUGCCUGGUUUAUCCUUUCAGACCUGCAUUGCCCACGUCCGUUAGACCGUGCCCUGAGGGGUGCAGUUGGGAGAACGGAGACCACGAAGACACAGCGGCUUUCUCCAGCCUGGAGGAGAAAAAGCCCCUCGCAUCCACGCUGGCUGGCCUCUGCCAUGAAGUAUGUGGCCUGGACCGACCCCGCGGACUGGCGUCUGCUGAGAUGGAACAGACUUCACAGGUCUUUUGACAAAUCCACAGUCCUGGCUUUUGUCUCCGUAGCAAAACCCUCCCACCUGGUGGCCUCUGUGUGCAGACCUGAAGCCUGUGCUGGUCUGCUGGUCACUUCAGCAUUCUGUAUCAACUCACUAAGACCACAAACACACACACACACACACACACACACGCACUCUCUCUCAUGUUAUCCCAGGGCAGUGAGCCAUCAGCCUCCCUCCCCUACCACAUCCAACAUAGU